rnacentral:rRNA from 1 species
UACGUAGGGACCGAGCGUUGUCCGGAUUCAUUGGGCGUAAAGAGCUCGUAGGCGGCUGUUCAAGUCGAGUGUGAAAGCUCCAGGCUUAACCUGGGAAUUGCGCUUGAUACUGUUGAGCUAGAGUGUGGAAGGGGCUACUGGAAUUCCGUGUGUAGCGGUGAAAUGCGUAGAUAUACGGAGGAACACCUGCGGCGAAGGCGGGUCUCUGGGCCGAUACUGACGCUGAGGAGCGAAAGCGUGGGGAGCGAACAGG